rnacentral:piRNA from 1 species
AUGAGGACAAGAGUGGCAAGCAGCGUU